rnacentral:rRNA from 1 species
GACAGAGGGUGCAAACGUUGCUCGGAAUCACUGGGCGUAAAGGGCGUGUAGGCGGGACAGUAAGUCGGGCGUGAAAUCCCUGGGCUCAACCCAGGAACUGCACUCGAAACUACUAUUCUUGAGUGUCGGAGAGGAAAGCGGAAUUCCUGGUGUAGAGGUGAAAUUCGUAGAUAUCAGGAGGAACACCAGUGGCGAAGGCGGCUUUCUGGACGAUAAAUGACGCUGAGACGCGAAAGCGUGGGGAGCAAACAGG